AGGACGAACGCUGGCGGCACGCCUAACACAUGCAAGUCGAACGGAGAUUGAGAGCUUGCUCUUAAAUCUUAGUGGCGGACGGGUGAGUAACACGUGAGCAACCUGCCUCUGAGAGAGGGAUAGCUUCUGGAAACGGAUGGUAAUACCUCAUAACAUAGCUGGACCGCAUGAUCCGGUUAUCAAAGAUUUAUCACUCAGAGAUGGGCUCGCGUCUGAUUAGCUAGUUGGUGAGGUAACGGCCCACCAAGGCGACGAUCAGUAGCCGGACUGAGAGGUUGAACGGCCACAUUGGGACUGAGACACGGCCCAGACUCCUACGGGAGGCAGCAGUGAGGGAUAUUGCACAAUGGAGGAAACUCUGAUGCAGCGAUGCCGCGUGGAGGAAGAAGGUUUUCGGAUUGUAAACUCCUGUUUCGAGGGACGAUAAUGACGGUACCUCGGGAGGAAGCUCCGGCUAACUACGUGCCAGCCGCGGC
rnacentral:rRNA from 1 species